rnacentral:rRNA from 1 species
UACAGAGGGGGGCAAGCGUUGUUCGGAAUUACUGGGCGUAAAGGGCGCGUAGGCGGCCCCGCUAAGUCGAACGUGAAAAUCCCCCGGGGCUCAACCCCGGGGAACUGCGUCCGAUACUGGCAGGCUUGAAUCCGGGGAGAGGGGAUGCGGAAUUCCAGGUGUAGCGGUGAAAAUGCGUAGAUAUCGGGGAGGGAACACCCGGUGGC